CGAAGACACGUGGCACUGAAACACGCCUGGACGCGCUUGGCGGGGAGGCUUUGCGGCAGCUCCGAACGGGCCAAAAUGUCCGCCGCUUUGAACGAAGCCCCGGCGUCCGUUGCAUCCGCGCCGGCUAUACCGCGCGCCGUAGGCGAAACGUAACAGCACGGAUGGGAUUCACGCCAGUCUGCUAUAGCUGUCCUCGGCAAGCAGACGAGAAUGCCACCGAGUGGCUAUUCUCAUUCGUUGUUCUAAACUGCAGCUGCAGGUUUUUCUUUUUCUUUCUCGCGUACUGGCCAGGAAGGGCGCCAGCUGCCACCCUCCCAGUGGUGAGGUUACGUGACUUUCUUCUUCUUCUCGUUGACUUCUUUUUUUUUCCUGCAGGUGCAGAGGGCAGGUGCUCGGCGCUCACGCGCGCUCGAAAGAGUGCAGCGCCGAAUACGACAGCGUCCACACCUCGAUUGUAAGUAAACUUGAGAUAUAUCGUUCCGCGCGUGCGCCAGACAGAAUUUCACGGGAACGGCAACGUGGCGCUUCGCUCACUCGGUGGAAGCUGUCACGUAAUUCGAAAAAUAAAACGCAUAUCUCAAUCACACGAUAUCUCAAACUGACACAGAAGAGAAACGCUAGGUCAGUUUAGACUGAUUAUAUAGGUAGUGGAAGGCUACAGGUGCGGGAACUGACAAAGACAAAGGAGGCACACAAAGUACACAGUACUUUGUGUGCCUCCUUUGCUUCCGUCGGUUCCCGUGCUGUAGCCUUCCACUACGUUCCACCAACAAGCCCAACUAGUUACAGUUAUAGUUACUGAUUAUAGGUAUUCUUUCAAAACUAUAUUUUUGUUAUUUCGCGCGGUAAUAUGUUGAUUGCUGGCAAAAACGAGUAGUAAAUUUCUUUUUUUCGCGCCGAUACAUCAGUGUGGAGGGAGCUCGACGUCGUUGUAUUUCUUUUUCUUUCUUUCCUUCUUGUUUUGCCAUCUCGGGCCACUCCGGCUCUUGAAACUUCCUAAGUGCGGUCCGUGGCUCUUACGGAGUACGUUGUGGUUCAUCUUUACCGAGUAAAAUAAUUUAAUUAGGUCAUACCCGCCGCCACCAAAGUCCUUGAGGCAGCGGUCGCCACCCGCCUUUCAUUUUUCUGCCUCUUCUGUUGUCGUUGAUGUGGAAGGGCGAUUUGCUAAGACAGCUCAGGACGUUUUGUUUUUUCUCCUUUAGUGUACCUUUAAAACCCACUACCUAAACAUAUACACAGGAAUGCAAUGCUUAGCGUUCCUGUAUAUGCUCCCGCAGGGAGCACAGUUGCGCAUAACCUUUUCGGCGCCGCUCGCACCGCUAUUCGCUGAGCACUAUCACGUGAUGCAAAAUGUCAAAUGUUCAAAUGCGCCGCUGCGAAGCCAACUUUACGGGCGCGGCGCCGACUCGCUUCCGGAUCGUCAAGCGUGCGUUGUACCAAUCGGCUCCGGGUUGCAGUAUGAUGGGGUGCAGCGCACCAAACUGCACGAACCGCACGGAAGGUGGCAAGGCUUUUUACGCGGCGCCCUGCAGACGGACGAGACCGGCCGGCUCCGAAAGGGACCACGAUAUGCGAGGUGCGUCGCCUUGUUUACAGAGAAAUAGUGGAAACGAACGGCACCGUACCUUGAACUUUGAUUUGUCCAUUUUGCGAGCAACCGCUGUCGUCCUCCCAUUCCCAAGUCUAAUUUUCCCUCUCCCGCCCUCCCCCACAUGUACGGGAACUACGAGCGAAGCGUGGCAAGGUUCGACAAGACGGAAGAAACAAGCAAGCCUGUAUUUUCUUUUAUUUAUAGUUUUCUUGAAUAAAUGUUUAUUCCUCCUCCUC